rnacentral:rRNA from 1 species
UACGUAGGUGGCAAGCGUUGUCCGGAAUUACUGGGCGUAAAGCGUGCGUAGGCGGUUAUUUAAGUCGGGUGUGAAAGCCCCGGGCUCAACCUGGGAAUUGCAUUCGAGACUGAAUAGCUAGGGUACGGUAGAGGGAAGCGGAAUUUCCGGUGUAGCGGUGAAAUGCGUAGAUAUCGGAAGGAACAUCAGUGGCGAAAGCGGCUUCCUGGGCCAGUACCGACGUUCAGGCACGAAAGCGUGGGGAGCAAACAGG